UACGGGGGGGGCAAGCGUUGUUCGGAAUUACUGGGCGUAAAGGGCUCGUAGGUGGCCAACUAAGUCAGACGUGAAAUCCCUCGGCUUAACCGGGGAACUGCGUCUGAUACUGGAUGGCUUGAGUUUGGGAGAGGGAUGCGGAAUUCCAGGUGUAGCGGUGAAAUGCGUAGAUAUCUGGAGGAACACCGGUGGCGAAGGCGGCAUCCUGGACCAACACUGACACUGAGGCGCGAAAGCUAGGGUAGCAAACGGG
rnacentral:rRNA from 1 species